rnacentral:rRNA from 1 species
UGGGGAAUAUUGCUCAAUGGGGGGAACCCUGACGCAGCCAUGCCGCGUGAAUGAAGAAGGCCUUAGGGUUGUAAAGUUCUUUCGGUAUUGAGGAAGGUUGAUGUGUUAAUAGCACAUCAAAUUGACGUUAAAUACAGAAGAAGCACCGGCUAACUCCGUGCCAGCAGCCGCGGUAAUACGGAGGGUGCGAGCGUUAAUCGGAAUAACUGGGCGUAAAGGGCACGCAGGCGGUUAUUUAAGUGAGGUGUGAAAGCCCCGGGCUUAACCUGGGAAUUGCAUUUCAGACUGGGUAACUAGAGUACUUUAGGGAGGGGUAGAAUUCCACGUGUAGCGGUGAAAUGCGUAGAGAUGUGGAGGGAUACCGAAGGCGAAGGCAGCCCCUUGGGAAUGUACUGACGCUCAUGUGCGAAAGCGUGGGGAGCAAACAGGAUUAGAUACCCUGGUAGUCCACGCUGUAAACGCUGUCGAUUUGGGGGUUGGGGUUUAACUCUGGCGCCCGUAGCUAACGUGAUAAAUCGACCGCCUGGGGAGUACGGCCGCAAGGUUA